rnacentral:rRNA from 1 species
AAUCAACGCUGGCGGCGCGCUUAACACAUGCAAGUCGCACGAGAAAGUGGAGCAAUCCAUGAGUACAGUGGCGUACGGGUGAGUAACACGUGGGUAAUCUACCUCUUAGUGGGGAAUAACUCUGGGAAACCGGAGCUAAUACCGCAUAAGCCUGGAAAGGGAAAGGCAGCAAUGCGCUGAGAGAGGAGCCCGCGGCCGAUUAGCUAGUUGGUAGGGUAAAGACCUACCAAGGCAAUGAUCGGUAGCCGGCCUGAGAGGGCACACGGCCACACUGGCACUGAAACACGGGCCAGACUCCUACGGGAGGCAGCA